rnacentral:rRNA from 1 species
UACGUAGGGUGCAAGCGUUAUCCGGAAUUAUUGGGCGUAAAGAGCUCGUAGGCGGUUUGUCGCGUCGGCUGUGAAAACUCGGGGCUCAACCCCGAGCCUGCAGUCGAUACGGGCAGACUAGAGUGCUGUAGGGGAGAGUGGAAUUCCUGGUGUAGCGGUGAAAUGCGCAGAUAUCAGGAGGAACCCCGGUGGCGAAGGCGGGUCUCUGGGCAGUAACUGACGCUGAGGAGCGAAAGCGUGGGGAGCGAACAGG